GUUUAUAUAGUUUAACAAAAACAUUACAUUUUCAUUGUAAAAAUAAAUAAUUUUUAUAAAUU
rnacentral:tRNA from 1 species